rnacentral:rRNA from 1 species
CUAGGGGUUCAAACCUAAAGAACUCAAAUAUCUAAACGGAGCAAUUCAGUAUUCAACUUCGGUUGGGUGUGCACUUUGCUCUUAGUAAGACGUUGUGAUCCAUUAGGAAUCGAAGUGCAGUUAAGCACUUCAAUAGGCUACCAAUAGGCCUGCACGAAGUUCACGGUGGCAAACAACUGGACUGUUGCGGUUCGGUAUAUUGCCCUGUGAGCGUGCGGCGUCUGCUGUAGCUGCCUGAUGGAUUUUAAAGGUCAUACCGUAAUGCUUUGCGCAUUACCCGCCACGGCGGGUUAGCUAUGUACCCGAUCAACAACGGUUAAAUUUGGGAUACCUUUGGGACCCGUCUUGAAACACGGACCAAGGAGUCUAUCUAGUAUGCGAGUAAAUGGGCACAAGAAAACCUAUUUGCGUAAAUAACUUGACUGUUAUGGGAUUACGAGCUGCACCCGGUUACCCGAGUGCGUUCCUCCAUCCCGGGGUAUUUUUAUAACAUGUACCGCUCUCGGGUGGCCACAUAGAAAAUAUACCAUGAGCACACUGGAUAUGACCCGAAAGAUGGUGAACUAUGCCUGAUCAGGUUGAAGUCAGGGGAAACCCUGAUGGAGGACCGAAGCAAUUCUGACGUGCAAAUCGAUUGUCAGAAUUGGGCAUAGGGGCGAAAGACCAAUCGAAC